ensembl:lncRNA
GAUGGAGCAGUCAGUCCAAACACUGGGGAAAAUUACUGCCUUUUUCUGUCCCACUGUCUCCUUACCUCUUACAAUGAGCUUCACUGGUUUCAUGUGUAAUGAAAGAAAGAUGUGAUGCCUUUUCUUGACCUCAUGCAUAAGGGUCAUAGCUAAUGCUCCUGCCACAAAAGAGAUUAACCUGGUAACAGAUCUAUUUAAUUAAAAUUUUAUAUGUAUCAUUUCUGGAGAGUAAAAAAUCCAGGAAGACUGUCUAUUUCUGUUCAUAGAAUGAAGAAUGGCCAGAUUAUAAGAGGCUGAGAAGAAUGGGCACCAAACCCCACUGAGAUUCUUCAGAGGGUGUUGGAUUCCAAGCUGUCUGCAUAAACUCCUGCAAGCACCAACAGCAUCGUCUGGCUCAGGAAGACGAAUGGAGACAAUCAAAUCCCAAUGGCUUUCUAUGACAAAUCUGACCAAAAUGAAAAGUUGAGUGAG